AGGCAGCAGUGAGGAAUAUUGGUCAAUGGGCGAGAGCCUGAACCAAGCCAAGUCGCGUGAGGGAAGACGGUCCUAUGGAUUGUAAACCUCUUUUGCCGGGGAGCAAAGAGCGGCACGUGUGCCGCGCCGAGAGUACCCGGAGAAAAAGCAUCGGCUAACUCCGUGCC
rnacentral:rRNA from 1 species